rnacentral:misc_RNA from 1 species
UCCACGUUAUCCGCGGCAGUCUCCUGAGAGUCCUCCCUUGCGGGUAGCAACACAGGAUGGUAUUGCUACCUCGUUGGGCUUUCACCCUUCUACUACCUGCAUGUCCAGCCUGGGUAAGGUUCUUCGCGUUGCGUCGAAUUAAACCACAUGCUCCACCGUUUGUGCGGGCCCCCGUCAAUUCCUUUGAGUUUCAACCUUGCGGCCGUACUUCCCAGGCGGAAUACUUAAUGCGUUAGCUGCGGCACCGGCGGUAAACCGCCGACACUUAGUAUUCAUAGUUUAAGGCGUGGACUAC